CGUGAUACAAUAGGAGUGAAAGGGUGAAAGUGUUAUUUGUGCUAUAUAAUUCAAAAAAAAAGGGGAGCAGGAGAUUAUUUUCUCUCUUUUCCUUUCCUUUCUUUUCUUCUUCUCCGGCGUCUCUCUCGGCUCUCACCUCUCUCACCUUCUCUCUUCGAUUUCAUCGAUCACGAGUGAGACUUUUGAAAAAUCCCAAGUACUAAAGUUGUUCUACGCGACGAGAGCUUCCUAUCCAUCGAAGAAAAUUCACGAUCGGAGCACUUCGAAGUUUCCUCCAUGUUCGGGCUUGCUUCUAACCCUCGAGGUACUCGCCAUGGCACUUAGCUUGGAUUGCAUGGAGUGCACAUUGAAACGGCUCUUGAGAGCUUCAUUGGUAUCAUAAAAGAAGUGUUUAUCAUCUAGUCAAAUUCAUGUUGUGUACUUUACUCGCAAUGGAGAGUUGUACCUUUUGAUGAGAAUAUAUGUAAAGCUAUGUGUAAAUUCCUCUCCUUGAUCAUUAUGGAACUCAUUUAAUUGUAAACGUUUGGGAGACUUUAUGUAAAAAAAAAAAAAAAAUUUUUAGAGAGAAGAAGAAGAGACUUUGAUUCUUUA